CUAGAGUUCUCGAAGAGAAUCUGCUGGUCUUGAUUCACUGGUAGGGGUCUUCAGUGUCUCUGUUAGUGCCCAGAUCAGAAACAUGU